CCGCUGAAAUUAAGCAUAUCAAUAAGCGGAGGAAAAGAAACUAACAAGGAUUCCCCUAGUAACUGCGAGUGAAGAGGGAAAAGCUCAAAUUUAAAAUCUGGCAGUCUUUGAUUGUCCGAGUUGUAAUUUAGAGAAGUGUUACCCGCGCUGGACCGUGUAUAAGUCUCCUGGAAUGGAGCGUCAUAGAGGGUGAGAAUCCCGUCUUUGACACGGACUACCAGGGCAUUGUGGUGCGCUCUCGAAGAGUCGAGUUGUUUGGGAAUGCAGCUCUAAAUGGGUGGUAAAUUCCAUCUAAAGCUAAAUAUUGGCGAGAGACCGAUAGCGAACAAGUACCGUGAGGGAAAGAUGAAAAGAACUUUGGAAAGAGAGUUAAACAGUACGUGAAAUUGCUGAAAGGGAAACGCUUGAAGUCAGUCGCGUUGUCCAGGGAUCAGCCUUGCUUCUGUGAGGUGUACUUCCUGGUUGACGGGUCAGCAUCAGUUUCGACCACUGGAAAAAGGCUGGGGGAAUGUGGCACCUUCGGGUGUGUUAUAGCCCCUUGUCGUAUACAGUGGUUGGGACUGAGGAACUCAGCACGCCGCAAGGCCGGGAUUCGUCCACGUUCGUGCUUAGGAUGCUGGCAUAAUGGCUUUAAGCGACCCGUCUUGAAACACGGACCAAUGAGUCUAACAUGCUUGCGAGUGUUUGGGUGGGAAGGAAAACCCGAGCGCGUAAUGAAAGUGAAAGUUGGGAUCUCUGUCGUGGAGAGGACGGACUCCCGGCCCUGAAAUAUACGGGCGGAGCUGCGGUAG
rnacentral:rRNA from 1 species